GACGAACGCUGGCGGCGUGCUUAACACAUGCAAGUCGAGCGGAGCGGCGAACGGGUGAGUAACGCGUGAGUAACUGCCCCCCUCUCUGGGAAAACAGUUGGAAACGGCUGCUAAUACCGGAAAGUGGGGGAUGACUCGCGUGCUACCAGCUUGUUGGUGGGGGAGUGGCCUACGAAGGCGACGGCGGGUAGCCGGCCUGAGAGGGCGACCGGCCGCAUGGGGCUGCGAUACGGCCCAAACGCCGACGGGGGGCAGCAGUGGGGACUAGUGCAAGAUGGGGGCAACCCGGAUGCAGGAACGCCGCGUGGGGGAUGACGGUCUUCGGGUUGUAAACCGCUUUCAGCCAUGACGCGGUAGUGGCAGAAGAAGCACCGGCUAACUACGUGCCAGCCGCCGCGGUAAUAC
rnacentral:rRNA from 1 species